UGGAGAGGUGAGCGUCCUGGGAGCAGCAUUCGCCCCAACAGUGACCUCUGGGCAGGUAGUUCCGGGACCUCCCUCCGGAGGUCAUGCGGGGAGACCAAUGGUCCAUGGAGAGACCUUAACCGAUAAGCUCAGCUGACGGAAGGGCUUCCCGUUGAAGAGAAGGAAGGUGCUGGGUUGCUUCCGACUUGGAUCUGGAGAAUUGUGGCGAUAGAAACACAUCACCUCCUUCCACUCGUCUAACCGGGCGGAGCAGAGUCCUCUCCUCCGAGCCUCUGCCCUGGGUGGCCCCUCGGGAGCAUACAAGUGAGCAGCCGUUUCAUUCACCGCCAGACUGCAGCGGGCACCAUAGCGUGAGCCCGAGACCACGUGUCCUCGUCCUGAGAGCGCCGCGUGUGGCCCUGAGGUGCUGUUAGGGUGCAGACGGGCCCCUAGAAGCAGAAGGGCAGGCGGGGAUGCAUUCCCCCCCCCCACUCCCCGCAGGACUCAGAACACACCGAGAGUCUCUUCGUUCUAGCAACGGCUUUCCUGGGUUUGUUCGAAGACCUAAGUGAGGCGAGGCGGGCUUGCGCAGUGGCAGUGGUUUAGGCUGAAACCGAAAGCUGAGGCUCAGCUCACGCCACUGGGUUGCAAGUGUAGCGUGUGCGCUCCGUGACACGGCGAUCCAAAACUGAAAUCCCGAGAUGACUCCUGUUCCCUGCUUCCCACCUUCCGAGCCACUGGCGGCUGCUGGGGCAGCACCUGCUUCUGCUCCUUAGAAACUGAGAUGAGAACGGGGACGUUUGCCAAUGGCCCCCGGCAGGAGGUGCUAACUGGAUGCAGGUGGUCCGAGGCCGCUGGGACCAGCAGGCGCUGCCCGAGGUGUUUUCCUAAAUAAAGUUUCAUUGGA